rnacentral:lncRNA from 1 species
CAACAAACUCCACUCAGUUUACCAACACACUCUUUGUCAAGACUGUUCUGUACCUUUUAGCACUUAUUAUUAACAAGGGAAUGGCUACUCUUCUCUCUAGGAGUUGAUACUGUUUGAGGAGGAAAGUUUCCUAUGAGGAGCCAGCAUCCAUUGGCACAUCCCUCACUAUGCCCACUGCUGUUGAAAGGAAGAUGAAGAGUGAGUAAGAGCAUUUCUUGCUCUUUGCAAAAGUACGGUGAAUAGAUCAUGCCUCAAAAAAAGCAUUAGCACACCAUGGGCAUUGGGCCUUAACAGCUGAAGGAUAGUGAAGGUAUCUGAAAGCUUCCUUACCUUUGGUCUGAACAGGACUGCGCCCCAGGUUCCAGAAGCAGUAUAGGCAGAGACUUCAAUGUAACACAUGUCAGAAGAAGGUAUUCAUGGAUGAUGGCCUGGGGAACAAACA